UACGUAGGGUGCGAGCGUUGUCCGGAAUUAUUGGGCGUAAAGGGCUCGUAGGCGGUCUGUCACGUCGGGAGUGAAAACUCAGGGCUUAACCCUGAGCCUGCUUCCGAUACGGGCAGACUAGAGGUAUGCAGGGGAGAACGGAAUUCCUGGUGUAGCGGUGAAAUGCGCAGAUAUCAGGAGGAACACCGGUGGCGAAGGCGGAUCUCUGGGCCUUACCUGACGCUGAGGAGCGAAAGCUGGGGGAGCAAACAGG
rnacentral:rRNA from 1 species